GUGGGGAAUCUUGCGCAAUGGGCGAAAGCCUGACGCAGCCAUGCCGCGUGAAUGAUGAAGGUCUUAGGAUUGUAAAAUUCUUUCACCGGGGACGAUAAUGACGGUACCCGGAGAAGAAGCCCCGGCUAACUUCGUGCCAGCAGCCGCGGUAAUACGAAGGGGGCUAGCGUUGCUCGGAAUUACUGGGCGUAAAGGGCGCGUAGGCGGACAGUUUAGUCAGAGGUGAAAGCCCAGGGCUCAAACUUGGAAUUGCCUUUGAUACUGGCUGUCUUGAGUACGGGAGAGGUGAGUGGAACUCCGAGUGUAGAGGUGAAAUUCGUAGAUAUUCGGAAGAACACCAGUGGCGAAGGCGACUCACUGGCCCGUUACUGACGCUGAGGCGCGAAAGCGUGGGGAGCAAACAGGAUUAGAUACCCCAGUAGUCC
rnacentral:rRNA from 1 species